rfam:Schistosoma curassoni strain Dakar, Senegal genome assembly, scaffold: SCTD_contig0000899
AUCCAGCUGAAGAGUCUCAAGUAGGACGAAAUAUGAGUCCUGAAU